GUACUCUAGUUUCCCUUCAAUUAUCGCAUAAAUCUUUCGCCUUUUACUAAAGAUUUCCGUGGAGGGGAACAAUUGAUGAGUCUUAUAAAAAUUUUUUGUGUGCCCGGCGGAAGCUGGGCC